rnacentral:rRNA from 1 species
UACGUAGGGCGCAAGCGUUAUCCGGAAUUAUUGGGCGUAAAGGGCGCGUAGGCGGCCCGCUAAGUCGAACGUGAAAUCCCCGGGCUUAACCCGGGAACUGCGUCCGAUACUGGCAGGCUUGAAUCCGGGAGAGGGAUGUGGAAUUCCAGGUGUAGCGGUGAAAUGCGUAGAUAUCUGGAGGAACACCGGUGGCGAAGGCGGCAUCCUGGACCGGUAUUGACGCUGAGGCGCGAAAGCGAGGGGAGCAAACGGG